CGCCGACGACACCACCAGCGUCGGCACCGUGCCCAGCCGCAGCUGCAUCACCGGCCCGUGGCGACGCGCCAGCUCGCGGAGGCUCCGGUGGGGCAGCGUGCCCAUGAUCUGAUGCAGGUUGUCCAGGACAGGCAGGACAGGCAGCCUCAGCAGUGGACCGGGCGGCAGGUGGAGGCGGCGGCCUUUGGUGGAGAAGAAGCUUCUUGUUGCAAGAUCGAGGCCGAGGAGAGGCAGAAGAAAUGUAAAGAAGAUGGCAGGGAGCUGCAGUUUCCAUUAUUGAGGCAUGCAUUCCAGGACAGGCAUAGGCAUGGCCACUGUUUCUUUUACUCCAAAUGAAAGCAAAAUAAUUAUAAUGUGAGCAUAUGCGUCUGUACCGUGCAAUUCAAAAAGAAAAAAGUUAGCUAGUAGAGCUCAUCAACUACUCCCUUCUAAGUCAAAUCUUGUUUGGCAGUUUGAGUGUUAUUUUGGUAUGCUCCAUCCAUGUAAGAGCAUAGCUAUGUUUAUGUUUGUCCUAAGUCAUACACUUUUAUUUUUGAUGGAUAAUAGCUCUAAAAAUUAUUUAUUUUAAAUAUAAAAAUUGCAUAUUAUGAUAGUAUGUGUACGAUUAUCCUGAAUCAAACUACUCUGAAAACUAUGGUGAACUACAGUUUCAAAUGAGGGCUUGGAUACAAUGUAUUCAGAUGUGAAAAAGUAUAUAAAUAUAUACAAGUAGCAGGCUAUACAUUUUUGUUUUGUUUUUAGAUGGUUGCUGCAAUUGAUUACCACAAACUUUUGGAGAUCCCACAUCAUAUAUAUCUCACAAAUGAUCGGAUUUAUUUAGAUAUUACAAGUGUCUUGGAUCCAUAAGCGGUGGUCUUGGUAAUAUAAGCUGGUCAUGACUCAUGAUCUCUGCCACUUGUACGUGGUCGGCACAAGCACGAGGGGGACCUUCUUGUUGACGGUGAGCCCUCCUGCCUCUUCCAUGCUCACAUCCUCCACCGUCAUACCAUCUGGGAGCUCCCACUCGAAGCAGUGGAGCAGGUUGGCCAGCGUGAACUCUACUAUCGCCACCCCCAUGGCCACUCCAGGGCACAUCCUACGUCCUGCGCCGAAUGGCAGAAGCUCGAAAUGCGCCCCAUUGAAGUCGACACCAUCCCCCUCAAACCUAUCCGGGUCAAACUCCUUGGGGUUGCUCCAGAUUGCAGGGUCUCUGCCAAUUGCCCAGACGUUUACAAAGAUCCUUGUCCUGGCAGGCACAUCGUAUCCGCAGAUCUUGAUGUGUCGCAUGGUCUCUCUCGGAGCUAGAAGCGGUGCCACCGGGUGUAGCCGUAGCGUCUCCUUUACCACCAUCUUUUACCACCAUCUUAAGGUACUUGAGUUUCGGCAAGUCGUCCGGCUCUACCCUCUCUUUGUUGCCCACCGCUCCUCUGAUCUCGUCUUGUGCCUUCUUAAGAACCUCCGGGUUUCGAAUCAGUUCGGCCAUUGCCCAGACCACCGUGACCGAGUUCGUGUCAACUCCACCAGUGAACGUAUCCUGAAAAAUUGUACGUAUGCAUAACGGUUAUAAAUGAAAUAAUAUAUAUAGCUCCAUAAAUCCUAUUUUGUACUGUAAAUUUAUGAGCUCUUUUACGGUACACAAUACUAUUGUACUUAGUAGUAUAUAAUAUAUAUAAGAUCUAAAUAUUUAUGAUUAUGGAUGAUUUAGUAAUUAUUACAUGUGAAAAGUGAUAUUUCAAACGGAAUGGCCUUUUAAACUUGAUGCUAGUGUCAAAAAUAAAAUUUUAGUGAUGUCAUUUGUGUUCUUUUACCAUGAUACUCUUAUACUACAUAUACUACUCAUGUAUACUACUCAUACCACACGUGAAGAUUUCGGUAGUAUACAAUUAAUCUUGACUGUCGGAUAUUUAUAUACUAGUCUUUUUUAACACUAGUAUAGCCUAGUGUUGUGUACCGUAAAAGAGCUUAAAUUUUAUAUGUUGAUGACGUUGCGUACCGAUAACAUUCCCUUGAUGUGGUCUCUAGUGAACCAACUGAAAGUGCCCUCGUGCUCCUUGGUGAGGCCAAUAAGGAUGUCGAUGAAGCCAGGCCCGUUGUCCGGUGUGGGGCGGGACGGCUGGAGGUGGGUGUCGAUAAUCCUGUCGAAGAAAGUGUCGAGCUCCCAAAAUACCUUCUCACGGCGGGAGACGAGGCCGGUGAGAUGGUCCACAAGGCGACCCAAGACGUUGGGGAAGUAGUCCUCAGCGGAGAAGCUGCUCUUUACAGCCAUGGCCUCAUCGAACAGAUCGUGGAAGUGCUUCUUGUGUGCAAACUGCUCUGAACCGUAUAUGCUCCCAAGUGCCACCGUGCUGACAAUGCCGUCCAUGAGCGUGAAGAUGUGAUCCUCCAGGUACACUGGUCUCCGUCCUCCGCUGGUUAAGCGGCCGAUGAGUUUGUCCACCUCAGCUUCCCUGGCUGGCCAGGUGGCCUGGACGCGGCGCGCGUUGAGGAGCUCGACGACGAUGAGCUUGCGCAUCUCGCGCCAGCAGUCGCUGUAGGGCGUGAACGCCACGUCCUUGUAGCCGUACGACAACCGCCGCGCCCCCGGCGUGUCCGGCCGGGUGCAGCACGCGGCGUCGUGCGUCUUCAGCACCUCCCUCGCCGCCUCCGCCGACGACACCACCAGCGUCGGCACCGUGCCCAGCCGCAGCUGCAUCACCGGCCCGUGGCGACGCGCCAGCUCGCAGAGGCUCCGGUGGGGCAGCGCGCCCAUGAUCUGAUGCAGGUUGCCCAGCAGGGGCGGGCCUACAUGUAUUCAAGGGUAUUCAACUGAAUACCCAUUAUUUUUGCAAAAAAAAUUUAUAUAUAGUGUAUUCCAUGGGUAUGUAUCAAAAAGCCAAAAAUAAACAGGCUAACGUAAACCAAAAAAGCCCAUAGGAACCUGCCUGGUCCGCUCCUUCCCUCCUCUACCGCAGUCUUGACCCAACAGCUCAUUUUCUCACAAGCUCAAUUUGGUCAUUCCCCUUCCUCCACUGGAUCGCAGGCUCACAGCCACACACAUAGCGCUCCAUUCCUUUGCUGAUCUACACCUCCCCUCUCCUCUCUGAGCUUCGGUAAUUUGGCAAAGCAAGUCACGGCAUCGAACCAUCAACACUUCUACAGACUACGCGACUUCAGCAACAUAUUGAGAUGAGCAUUUGCAAUUGUUUAUGAAAUUUAUGACAAUGUGAUAGCAGUAGCAGGCAGUGAGCACUCUCUAAAAUUUGUGUAUUUUUAUUUUAGUCUGAAACAUGAAGAGAAAGAAUAGUACAAGUACUGAUUUGAGAUGUUGUAUUGAUCAUUUAGUACAUCUAUAUUGAUGUCAAUUUCUAGAUUAUGUGUUAUGAAUCUGCACUUUAAGCUGUAAAAAAAUUCACCCUUCGAAAAUUUUGAAUACCCAUUCCCAAAAUCCUGAGCCCGCUCCUAUUGCCCAGGACAGGCAGCCUCAGCAGUGGACCGGGCGGCAGGUGGAGGCGGUCCCCUUUGGUGGAGAAGAAGCUUAUUGUUGCAAGAGCGAGGGCGAGGAGAGGGAGAAGAAACGUAAAGAAGAUGGCAGGGAGCUGCAGUUUCCAUUGUCGAGGCAUGCAUUCCAGGACAGGCAAAGGCAUGGCCACUGUUUCUUUUACUCCAAAUGAAAGCCAAU
rnacentral:lncRNA from 1 species